GACGAACGCUGGCGGCGUGCUUAACACAUGCAAGUCGAACGAAGAGCGAUGGAAGCUUGCUUCUAUCAUUCUUAGUGGCGAACGGGUGAGUAACGCGUAAUCAACCUGCCCUUCAGAGGGGGACAACAGUUGGAAACGACUGCUAAUACCGCAUACGAUCUAAUCUCGGCAUCGAGGAUAGAUGAAAGGUGGCCUCUACAUGUAUGGUAUCACUGGAGGAGGGGAUUGCGUCUGAUUAGCUAGUUGGAGGGGUAACGGCCAACCAAGGCGAUGAUCAGUAGCCGGUCUGAAAGGAUGAACAGCCACAUUGGGACUAAAACACGGCCCAGACUCCUACGAGAGACAACAGUCGGAAAUCUUCCGCAAAGGACGAAAGUCUGAAUGAGAAACGCCGCGGGAAACACUACUGCCUUCAUGUUGUAAAAAUCUUUUAAUCGGUACGAAAGUACUUCUUGCUAAUAUGGAAAAAGAUUGACGGUACCAGAAGAAAAAGCCACGGCUAACUACGUG
rnacentral:rRNA from 1 species